rnacentral:rRNA from 1 species
CAGCCGCCGCGGGAAUACAGAGGGUGAGAGCGUUAAUCGGAUUUACUGGGCGUAAAGCGUGCGUAGGCGGCUUCUUAAGUCGGAUGUGAAAUCCCUGAGCUUAACUUAGGAAUUGCAUUCGAUACUGGGAAGCUAGAGUAUGGGAGAGGAUGGUAGAAUUCCAGGUGUAGCGGUGAAAUGCGUAGAGAUCUGGAGGAAUACCGAUGGCGAAGGCAGCCAUCUGGCCUAAUACUGACGCUGAGGUACGAAAGCAUGGGGAGCAAACAGGAUUAGAGACCCCUGUAGUCCCUGUCUCUUAUAC